UGCCGCAUAGACUGAGCUGGACCCAACCAAGCCCCUCCCCUGAGAUCCCCUAGGGCUUGCCUUUCCCGGAGGCUGCUCUUUCCUCAGCAGCCACCUCCCAGCCUGGCCCUGGAUUCCUCUCCUCCUCUCCAGCCCAGCUCUCCUGAGAAGCCUGUUCUUAAGCCCAGUCCAAGGCUGGCCUCUGGAGAAGGGCUUUCCAGAUGUCCCUGAGGUCCCUUCCUCCAGGGCUGUCAGGGCAGUGGGGCCAGGGUAAUCCAGGCUCCUGGGACUGCCUACCUGGAUGGGAUGGGAUGCAGAAGAGAGGGAAAGAAGGAGGGGGCAUGUGUAGGAGUCACCCAGGGGAUCCAGGGCUGGGAAGGUGCAGAACCAAGGCCCAGAAUCGGGAACUGAGAAACAUCUGGACCGACAUCAGCUGCCAGGGCAAUGAGGAAAAGGCAGGAGAAUUCAUAGCCCUGAGCACUGGCUUCAGAUUUGGGGUUUAAACAAAUGGAGGCACCGAGGAGAGCUAGGAAAAUGGGGGCGGGUCUGAGAUCCCAACCCCAGUCCAUCCCCGGACAGAGCAGCUUCUGGAAGCACGUUAGGCCUGGCCUUCUUUCCUGAAAACUUAAGCCACUGGGCCUCUUGUAAUUGUGGGGCUACAAAUCACCCCCCUGCCUUCAAAUCACGCACUCGCCCUUCGUCUGCCUUUAUCGAGGAGGGCAGGCAGGUGGAGGGGUGGGCAGCAUGGCAGAGUCUAGCCCAGGUGUGACCAGAGGCUCCAGAGACAAGCCCACCUUCUCCCCUGCCCUCCCACAGAAACCGCCCUCCUGCCAUGCGCCCAGGAUCUCUGUUGUCUCAUCUGUCUCUGCAGUAGUGUGUUCCCACUAGCCAUUAUGCCAAGUCUUCCACCCUGAACACAUCUGAACAAGUUUCUGCUGCCAAGUAUCUACUGUCUUCUACACUGCAAACGUUCCCCGCAUCAUUGAAUCAUCUUUCUCCACAUGCUUCUGAAUGCCUGCAUGUGGUCAUCCUGCUCUGCUGAGCUUCUGACUCACACCUGCCCCUGCCUUCCUGCUACUUCCACCCAGAGGCCCAAAACACCUCUCAAACUGAGGCCAUCCAGAAUGGAACAGUAACUCUUCAUAUCCCCCUGCCUCCCAAUCCCUCUUCUCUUCGGUUUCCCCAUCUCACCAGAUGUCACCAUAACCCUCCCAGUUGUCCAAGCCAAAAACCUGAGUCCUAAUAGGUCCUUUUUCCCCUCUCAACCCCCAUUCUAAUCCAUAGCAUGUCCCAUCCGUUCCACCUGCAGCCUAAGUCUCCAUCCUCACUGCCCUGCCAUGUCCAGGCCUCACCACCCUCUCUGCAGCAGCUGCUUGUGGUCUCCCUGAGUCCGCCCCCACUCCCCCCACAGCCCAUUCUCCCCACCCCAGCCAGAGUUGUGACUAGAACAUAAAUCCAAUCAUGCCACUCCUCCAUUUAAAACCCCUCCGUGUCUUCCAAC
rnacentral:lncRNA from 1 species